rnacentral:rRNA from 1 species
UACAGAGACUGCAAGCGUUAUUCGGAUUCACUGGGCGUAAAGGGUGCGCAGGCGGCCAAGUGUGUGAGGCGUGAAAGCCUGGGGCUUAACUCCAGAAUUGCACCUCAAACUACUUGGCUAGAGCAUUGGAGAGGGUAGCAGAAUUCCUGGUGUAGCGGUGAAAUGCGCAGAUAUCAGGAGGAACACCCGUGGCGAAAGCGGCUCUCUGGGACGGUACUGACGCUGAGACGCGAAAGCGUGGGGAGCGAACAGG